UACGAAGGGGGCUAGCGUUGUUCGGAUUUACUGGGCGUAAAGCGCACGUAGGCGGAUCGAUCAGUCAGGGGUGAAAUCCCAGAGCUCAACUCUGGAACUGCCUUUGAUACUGUCGAUCUGGAGUAUGGAAGAGGUGAGUGGAAUUCCGAGUGUAGAGGUGAAAUUCGUAGAUAUUCGGAAGAACACCAGCGGCGAAGGCGACUAACUGGACAUGUAUUGACGCUGAGGUGCGAAAGCGUGGGGAGCAAACAGG
rnacentral:rRNA from 1 species